GAAAAGGUAGUUCUGUAACUCGGUAAAAGCAAAUUGAAGUUUUUCCACUCUUGUAAACGUCCUCUUAUAUCAACUUUCCUCAUUUCUACCAAUCAAUCAAGCAACUGCAAUUUCCAUGGCUCGAGAAAUUAGACGACCAAAUUUCAAGACCUAGCUCAAAUUAGCUAAAACGAAACUAAAGCUAUCCCCACUCCGACCCUCAUUCUUUUCCAUCAUUUCCUCGGCAAUCAAUCAAGCAACUUCAAUUUUUUUGGCUCAAGAACUCAUACAAAACAGCAACGAAACAUAAUAUACCAACUAAACUUCAACACCGAGCUCAAAUUAACUAAAAAAAACUAGCCGUGCGCACCUCAAUUCUCAUUCUUUUCCAUCACUCCAAAAAGAAAUUAAGGAAAAAAAAAAACAUUAAAACAACAUUAAAACCCUCUACAUGUCGAGCUUACCAGAUCGCGAUUGAAGAGCAGAUUGGUAUCUCUUCGAGGCAGAAGAUAGACGAGCACUCCACGAGUCAGCAUCCAUCUCUUAUCCUCAGUUAUCACUAUAUUUCUCUCUCAAUUACCCGAUACUAAAAAGCUACGAAAAUCAGUCAAGUCUCGCCCGAUUUGCUUCAAAAUCCGAUCUUUGAUUCAGAUUCAGACAGCAACCAAAAAAUUCGACUGAAUUGAACGAAAAAGAAUACCCGGAGUCAAUGACGAAGCAGAGAUGGUCGACGAUUACGGGGUAGGUUUUGUGUGUCUUGAUAGAGAGUGAGAUAUGUCGAGAGGAGAUUUUAUUUUUUUGUUAGUAAUUUUUGUUGUUGAAAAUAACUGGCAGGAGGUUUUUUUUGUCUUGACAGUACUCCGCUUUCUUUGUGUGUUGAAAAAGUUGGUGACGUGGAGGGUUAUGAUUGGUCAAGGAAUAAUUACAGUGUAGGAUAAAAGU
rnacentral:lncRNA from 1 species